AACGAACGCUGGCGGCGUGCCUAACACAUGCAAGUCGUGCGAGAAAGUUCCUUCGGGAGCGAGUAAAGCGGCGCACGGGUGAGUAACACGUAGGUAACCUGCCCCCCAGUCUGGAACAACUAGAGGAAACUCUAGCUAAUGCCGGAUGAGACCACGAUCCCUUCGGGGGUUGCGGCCAAAGAUGGCCUCUACUUGUAAGCUAUCGCUGAGGGAUGGGCCUGCGGGCCAUUAGCUUGUUGGUGAGGUAACGGCUCACCAAGGCUGUGAUGGCUAGCUGGUCUGAGAGGAUGACCAGCCACACUGGGACUGAGACACGGCCCAGACUCCUACGGGAGCAGCAGUGGGAAUAUUGCGCAAUGGGCGAAAGCCUGACGCAGCGACGCCGCGUGGGUGAUGAAGGCCUCGGUCGUAAGACCUCGUCGC
rnacentral:rRNA from 1 species